CUCCCUCUGAUUUCAGCAGAACCACCACGAAUCUAAAUCUGUUAUUUCUUCAUCUUGAUACCCUAAUCAACACCCGUAUACCAGAAAUCUAGAUCUAUAACUUUUUAACUUGAAAUUUUCCAAACAUUAGAAAAUUGAUUUUGUUCCUGAUUUUGAAAACCAACACACAAUCUGAUAGUUGCAAUCGAUUAUCAACUAAGAUUUGGUUGAUUCGUGAGGAUUGCAGGGAAGAAGCUAUGUAAAAUUACAAACAAGCAGCAAGCUGAGUGAUCCUUCACUAGCUUCACAUCUCCUAGCUGUUCGACAAAAAGUCCCAAAAGAAACAACAUUGGCAUUCCGGGGGUUAAACCUAAUUUAGAAAGUUGUGGACGAAAAGGGUAGUCACACAGAUUAUGUGUUUGGUCUUGAUCCGAACAAGAAUCUUAAACAAGCUUCAAAAUUUAGGUAGACUGUAUCUUCUGUUUCAUUAAAUUUAAGAAAUUCUGCUAAUUGUACAGAAUUUUGUUGUUGUACCUUAUAGUUUCAAGGUGCAUUUACUUGAGUACAUCACCUGGAGAUUUGCAGUUUUAGAGUGUUUCAUUUUAUUUAUUUUUUGUUUUGCUUCAUGGUGAGGACUAUUGGUAUUGGUUUAAAUUUUGGUGGUACUAGAGGUGGUGGUAAUGUUGUUGUUGGUGGUGGUGGUUGGAGACACACUGAUCUACAUCAUCCUCAUGAUAAUUAUUACGCCAUUGAAAACAAUCAUCCCACCAGCAAUAUCCAUAAUCCAGUGCUCUCAGGUAAUCCUUCUCCAGCGUCUCCUUCUUCUUCACAUAGUGUGCUAACCAGUGUUGGACCAAUCUGAAGUAGUACUGCUAGUUUUGGAUCUGUGCUCAUAGAAGGGAGAUUCAGGAACGAUGCUGCUUGUUGUGAUAUAGCAAAGGAUGAAAAAGGAAAGCGACGGCAUCAACAUCUGCUACUGGUUCAUUACCUGUUAUAAACCCAACUGUUAUUAGAUGAAAGCUUGGCAGUCCAAGAACUUAGAGGAGAGAAGAUGAAGCACAUCCCAGGAGACAGAAAAGGUGUGGCACCUGCUGCAUACAUGGACAUAACAAGACUACUUGUCAGGGUGGGAAACAACUAAAGGAAAGAAGGGAUUUUCAAGUUGCAAGUGCAGUUGGUAGGAAUUUUGCAUCCACUAGAGUAAGGAAAGGCAUUGGAGCACACUCUACAGCAGGAACUAAAGGUGAUCUGUGCAGAGGUUCAACUGGAUCAGCUAGCUGCUACUUUUACUAUCACAGCUCUGUCGACAGGAGGUCGUGGCAAAGCUACACUAACUAUUAGUGAUGGAGUUGGAGCUGCACCACAAGCUAAUAUUUUUAAAGAUGAGUGACAACGAGGUAAUUUGUCAUAAAGUUGUGUAUAUAAAUGUUGCUCAAAUUAGUGCAAUACGUUGCCUAAAUUAAUGUAAUCGUUGCACAAAUUUAAGAAUCCGUUGGUGAAAUUGUAGAA